rnacentral:rRNA from 1 species
GACAGCAGUAGCCGCGGGAAUACGAGGGGAGCUAGCGUUGUUCGGAAUUACUGGGCGUAAAGCGCGCGUAGGCGGCUUUUUAAGUCAGAGGUGAAAGCCCGGGGCUCAACCCCGGAAUUGCCUUUGAAACUGGAAAGCUAGAAUCUUGGAGAGGUCAGUGGAAUUCCGAGUGUAGAGGUGAAAUUCGUAGAUAUUCGGAAGAACACCAGUGGCGAAGGCGACUGACUGGACAAGUAUUGACGCUGAGGUGCGAAAGCGUGGGGAGCAAACAGGAUUAGAUACCCCCGUAGUCCCUGUCUCUUAUAC